AUACGGAGGGGGUUAGCGUUGUUCGGAAUUACUGGGCGUAAAGCGCACGUAGGCGGACUGGAAAGUUGGGGGUGAAAUCCCGGGGCUCAACCCCGGAACUGCCUCCAAAACUUCCAAUCUAGAGAUCGAGAGAGGUGAGUGGAAUUCCAAGUGUAGAGGUGAAACUCGUAGAUAUUUGGAGGAACACCAGUGGCGAAGGCGGCUCACUGGCUCGAUACUGACGCUGAGGUGCGAAAGCAUAGGUAGCAAAUAGGAUUAGAUACCCUAGUAGUCC
rnacentral:rRNA from 1 species